CCGAGUUCAUGCCCUCACGGGUAGAUCUCCCACCCUUGUGUAUUUUAUUGUUUGUGUUGCUUUGGCAGGCCGUGGGCCGCGCCCACCACCGGCUCCCGGGCUGGUGCGUGCCUGCCAGAGGACCCUUUUAAACUCUGUUUGUCAGUGUCGUCUGAGUAUGAUAACAAUCGUUA
rnacentral:misc_RNA from 1 species